GAGUUUGAUCCUGGCUCAGGACGAACGCUGGCGGCGCGCCUAACACAUGCAAGUCGAACGGAGCUGAGAGAAGCUUGCUUUUCUUAGCUUAGUGGCGAACGGGUGAGUAACGCGUGGGUAACCUGCCUUGUACUGGGGGACAACAGUUGGAAACGACUGCUAAUACCGCAUAAGCGCACAGCUUCGCAUGAAGCAGUGUGAAAAACUCCGGUGGUACAAGAUGGACCCGCGUCUGAUUAGCUGGUUGGUGAGGUAACGGCCCACCAAGGCGACGAUCAGUAGCCGGCCUGAGAGGGUGAACGGCCACAUUGGGACUGAGACACGGCCCAAACUCCUACGGGAGGCAGCAGUGGGGAAUAUUGCACAAUGGGGGAAACCCUGAUGCAGCAACGCCGCGUGAGUGAAGAAGUAUUUCGGUAUGUAAAGCUCUAUCAGCAGGAAAGAAAAUGACGGUACCUGACUAAGAAGCCCCGGCUAACUACGUGCCAGCAGCCGCGGUAAUAC
rnacentral:rRNA from 1 species